GCAGUGGCCAGUCAAAUCCUCAGAGGUGGAGAUUAUGAUUUGCAGGUGUCUUUAAUGGAGGCCCUCUGCAGAAUGGCUUCACCAGCUCAGAGGAGUCAAGUAGCUGACUCCUGGUUUACAAUGACCUUUGUCUCCUCUGCAUUCAAGAAGAUCAAGGAUUCAGAGUUUGAGACUGACUGUAGGAAGUUUCUAAAUAUGGUCAAUGCCAUGCAAGGAGAUGGAAGAAG